rnacentral:rRNA from 1 species
GGUUGCGAUCAUACCAGCACUAAUGCACCGGAUCCCAUCAGAACUCCGCAGUUAAGCGGGCUUGGGCGAGAGUAGUACUAGGAUGGGUGACCCCCUGGGAAGUCCUCGUGUUGCAACCC